rnacentral:misc_RNA from 1 species
GCCUGGAAUGGGUGACACAGUAUGACUACGUAGCUGUAUUGGGGCAGCACAAAAUUUAUCCCGAUGAUGUGCAGACGUACACAAGAGAGGCCCUAUUUGCAGCUGUUAAGGACAUGUUUGGUGUGGAUCCUUCCAUUGACUGCAUCUACAAUAAAAAAACAAAACAGCAUGAAUUGUCCCAGAUCAAGUUGUGUUUCGACCGCUCGCUGCAUUUGGUAGAUUGUGAUGGCAUCAUUGGUGCAAAUGAAGAGAAAGUCCUUGGAAAUUGUCCCUUUAAAGGGAUAACAUACCCAGCAUCAGUGAGGACUGGAGGCAAGAAUUACCACUACCCCCAUGAGCUAGUAGAACUUCGAAAAAAGCGCUGGGAGGAGGCACAGGCAACAUGUGUAUCCUGGCUCUGCCAUGCACUCAUGACUGUCUAUUCGCUGAUGUGGAUAACCUUAUAAUGCAAUAUUUUGAAGGAAAAAUGGAUAUGUGGAUUCUGAUUUCUCAGAUGGCACAUGAAAUGCUCCUUGUAAGAUUUUUUUUUCUCCAUUGUUUUGGAGUGGUAAUUUUCUAAGGGGUGAAGUCCCAGCUAUUCCAUGAUAAUCAUGAGAUUAAAAUAAGACAUUAAAUUUACUGUUCAACUGCUAAGGUAAUGUUAGGUUUUUUCCACCUGUUCUUUUCUAUCUGUUUACUGUUUUUUAGUAAUGGAAUGGAUUUCAGCUACUUAUGUGCACUGGCAAUUGUACCAAGGACUAAGAAAUGGGAACAGAAAUAUUGGUUAUAUUUUUUUUUUUUUUCUGCUUGAUAUAUGAAAAGCUCCAAAAAUGUUAAAACUUUAAUAGGACCAUGAAUAUUAGCAUAUAAAUGAUCCAGAUGUCAUGUCACCUAUAGGAAAGGUGAAAUUAGAUGACUUGUGUUCUGUUAUAUGCAAAAUGUUGUUCAAGAGUCAUGCUAUUUGGAAAAUCUGUUAUUUCACUCAAGUUCCCCUUGACAGCACAACACUAAUGAGGACAGAGGGAAGCUCAUGUUGAAAAGAAUCAUUUCCCGAGAAAUAUCAAAUUGAUGCUGAGGCUUCUCUGCUCUUCCUCCUUGUGAUAUCAAGCUCAAACUCAAGUACUCUUUAGAUUUUAGCAGUAUUGAAACACCUCACUUUCACCAGUUCAUUGUUUCAAAUUAACUGCAGCUGAUACUGUCACAUGAAAGCUUAAAAGACAAAGAAAUGCAUGCUGUAGUACCACCAAGGCAAUACCUCACAAAUAUAUCCAGAUUUUUUGAAAGUACAGAGGCUAUUUCUUCGACUUUGCUGUCAUAUCAAGAUUCUGACAUUCAAGGUAAAUAAGGAUGUGUAUUUUGUUAAAUAGUUGCUGUAAAUGGCUUUAUAUCCCAAAGAUGUUUCAUGUUGUUAUUCUUUUAAAUGCUGGCUGAUAAGUAGAAGAAGGAAAAGCAAAGACAGUCUAAAUUUAAUUGAAUACUUGAUCAAACAAAACAUUCAAACCACAGCCUUUGCUUGAACUUGACCUUGAGCAGUUCAUGAACUUGAGACCACAUUGUAUGUUUGUUUGCAAGUAUGAUGUUUACAGUAAUCACAUUAGUCUGUUAACUCAAGAGAAACAUGUUUAGAUGUGAGGAAACAAAAGUGUUCUGAAGUCUGUGUAAUGCUGUUGGUAUGAUUCUUGUGCUGCAAAGUAAACUGGUACAUAUCUGAAGUAUUAAUCAUUAACUGUUAAGUAAAUCCAUUUACUGUCUUUUGCUGCUUUGUUUUGUUUACACGUGUUACAUGGUUUAUUAUGGUAGUCAUGUUCUAUUAUAUACCCAUCUUAGCCCAAUGCAGCAUGAAAAAUGUAAUGUUUACUCUAGUUUUGUUUUGUAAAAUAUCUUUACCUAUCGAUGGCUCUACAAUUGUCAGCCACCACUUUAAGUUUUUGGAAAACUUUUUUUUUUUUUUUUUAGUAAUGCUUUCAGAAUUGAUGUUAUUAUAAUUAUAUACGUCAUAAUUAUUAUUGACAUUACUAAAAUAGCAGUAUAAGAUAAAAGAGAUUGUCUUUAAUGACUAAACAUGUGGAGUCAUUCAUGUGUCAAGACAGGUAAUUAAACUCAUAGUGGGCAUGGCAUGUAUGUACAUGCCAUCCCCAGCAGCAUUGGGUUAAUGAUAUUGAUCAAAUAUUGACUAAAGGAAUAUUGGAAGCUGCUGUCACAUAUACCAUUGGUCAUAUUACUACUGUUAUGGUGUGGAUUCGUCAAGGUGAAUACUUGAGGGGGGGCAUUUGAACAAGAAAAAAAGGAGGGGGGUUGGUUAUUGCCUUGACUGUCUUACUAAAAGUUAGGUGUACCAUAUACAUCAAUUCUAGCACCCAAAAGAAAAUCUGUGACCCUCGCAUUUUUCAUCCUUAAAAAAAAAAAAGAUAAAUAAAAUAAAAAAAAAA